AACAAGGCCCUCGUUUGAAGAACGAGCACACUACGGAAAAAAACACAUACUGAAACUUUUUAGUCCCUGUGUAAUAAGGUAGGCAUCAAUAAAUUUUGACGCAAAUUUUCGAAUUUUCGGGGUUUCGGGAGUGGGUAAA